UAAUACGGAGGGAGCUAGCGUUGUUCGGAAUUACUGGGCGUAAAGCGUGCGUAGGCGGCGAUUCAAGUCAGAGGUGAAAGCCUGGAGCUCAACUCCAGAACUGCCUUUGAAACUAGAUCGCUAGAAUCUUGGAGAGGUCAGUGGAAUUCCGAGUGUAGAGGUGAAAUUCGUAGAUAUUCGGAAGAACACCAGUGGCGAAGGCGACUGACUGGACAAGUAUUGACGCUGAGGUACGAAAGCGUGGGGAGCAAACAGG
rnacentral:rRNA from 1 species